ensembl:lncRNA
AGUGCGAGCCCUGUGAAAACGAGAACCUCAUCUGUCUCCUUCACCACUGGAACUCCAGCAUCCAGAAUAGUCCCUGGACCUGAUGAGCUGUGUGUCUGUGAUCUGUUGAUGAGGGUGGCGAAGGACUACUCAAUCAACUGGGGUGUACAAAAUGGAGUUUGAGAAGGGCAUGCUGAUGCAAGAGGUGGGCUCCAUGGCCUUGGGCAGAUCUGCUCCUGUGGAUUUUCCUGGUACAGCCCUUCUUCCUGCUGCUUUCAUAGCUGGUGAUGAGUAUCUGUGGCUUUUCCAGGUCUCACAUCUAAGUCGUUUUGAAGCAAAGUCCAAGCAUUGUAUCAUUUCCUCUGCAAAUAUUUUAAUAAGUACCCAAAAGUCUAAGACAGAAGAAAACUGCAGAAGAUUGCUACCUACUCAAGUAGAAAAACUCAAGCUGGAAAAUUAA